GCGCUUGCUUGGGCAGCACAUAUACUGAAAUUGGAACGAUACAGAGAAGACUAACAAGGCCCCUGCGCAACAAUGACAUGCAAAUUUGUGACGCAUUCCAUAUUUUG
ensembl:snRNA U6 U6 spliceosomal RNA